GAUGAAGAACGCAGCGAAAUGCGAUAAGUAAUGUGAAUUGCAGAAUUCAGUGAAUCAUCGAAUCUUUGAACGCACAUUGCGCCCGUCAGUAUUCUGGCGGGCAUGCCUGUUCGAGCGUCAUUACGCCCCUCAAGUCCCCUGUGGACUUGGUGUUGGGGAUCGGCGAGGCUGGUUUUCCAGCACAGCCGUCCCUUAAAUUAAUUGGCGGUCUCGCCGUGGCCCUCCUCUGCGCAGUAGUAAAACACUCGCAACAGGAGACCGGCGCGGUCCACUGCCGUAAAACCCCCCAACUUUUUAUAGUUGACCUCGAAUCAGGUAGGACUACCCGCUGAACUUAAGCAUAUCAAUAGCGGAGGA
rnacentral:misc_RNA from 1 species